AUUCUGAUAAGACAUCUUGUGCUGUGCCUGACGGUUGUGGAAUAUGAAUUUCAACAAGAGCAAUGGUGACCAAAAGGUUCGCAACAAUUACCUCAGUGCCUCAGGCUCCUUUUAAAGUUCCUUCUUGCCCAGCUGACCAUAAUACAAACUGUCUUGGCUGCAAUUAUGAAAAAAAACUAUGGAAGCCUGCUUCUGGAAUCCUCGUUUUUCUAACCUCAAUGGUUCAUGGAUUUGCAUGUAAACAGGUUAUAAUGAGAUAUUUUUUGUCUGCCAUACAAUAUUUAAAACUGUAUGGCCUGGUUUCACAGACAGGGUUUACGUAAAGCCAGG